rnacentral:rRNA from 1 species
UGCCAGCCGCCGCGGUAAUACGAAGGUGGCGAGCGUUGUUCGGAUUUACUGGGCGUAAAGAGCACGUAGGCGGUUUGGUAAGCACCUUGGGAAAUCUUCAGGCUUAACCUGGAAAGUUCGAGGUGAACUGCCGAGCUAGAGGACGGGAGAGGAGCGCGGAAUUUCCGGUGUAGCGGUGAAAUGCGUAGAGAUCGGGAAGAAGGCCGGUGGCGAAGGCGGCGCUCUGGAACGUUUCUGACGCUGAGGUGCGAAAGCGUGGGGAGCAAACAGGAUUAGAUA